rnacentral:rRNA from 1 species
GGUCCAGACUCCUACGGGAGGCAGCAGUGGGGAAUAUUGCACAAUGGGGGAAACCCUGAUGCAGCAACGCCGCGUGAAGGAAGACGGUUUUCGGAUUGUAAACUUCUGUUCUUAGUGAAGAAGAAUGACGGUAGCUAAGGAGCAAGCCACGGCUAACUCCGUGCCAGCAGCCGCGGUAAUACGGAGGAUGCGAGCGUUAUCCGGAUUUAUUGGGUUUAAAGGGUGCGCAGGCGGAAUGUCAAGUCAGCGGUAAAAUUUCGGGGCUCAACCCCGUCGUGCCGUUGAAACUGGCGUUCUUGAGUGAGCGAGAAGUAUGCGGAAUGCGUGGUGUAGCGGUGAAAUGCAUGGAUAUCACGCAGAACUCCGAUUGCGAAGGCAGCAUACCGGCGCUCAACUGACGCUCAUGCACGAAAGCGUGGGUAUCGAACAGGAUUAGAUCCCCGGGUA